AUGGAGUUGUUGCUGAGAAUUGCUUUGGUGAUAUUGUGGCUUCAAGGUUGGGUCAACAGCCAAAAGGUGGAACAGAGUCCUCCAGCCCUGAGCAUGCAGGAGGGUGAGAAGGCCGUUCUGAUCUGUAACUUCACAAGUUCGCCAACCUACUUACAAUGGUACAGACAAGAUCCAGGAAGAGGAUUGGUCUUCUUGGUACGAAUACGUGAAAAUGAUGGUGACAAAUUGGAAGGAAGACUAAGGGUCACCUUUGAAAGGACCAUCAAACAGAGCUCUCUUCAAAUCCCAGCUUCCCAACCUGAAGACUCAGCCACCUACUUCUGUGCUGUAGACACACAGCAGGGCCCUGAUACCCACUUCCUGCACCAAAACCUUGCUGGUCUCCUAAAGUCACCAGAGCUGGGGGCUGUGCCUUUAAGGCAGUUCCCACAGUUCCUGGCAAAAUAA